GGAGCAUGAGUGUGGGAAGGACGAGCUUUAAAAGGACCAUUAAGUUACGCCGAUAGUGGCAGAAGGAAAAACCGGAUGCAGCCAAUUCUACUGCAUUUAUUUGUUGUUUCUUUUUAAUGAUUUUUAUUUUUAUCCAUUAUAGUUGGUUUGCAAGUGUUCUGUCAAUUUUUUUUAAUUUUUUAUCUUAUUUUUUAAAUGAUUUUUAUGUUUUUCCAUUAUAGCUGGUUUACAGUGUUCUGUCAGUUUUCUACUGUACAGCAAGAUGACCCAGUCACACAUACAUAUAUACAUUCCUUUUCCUCCCAUUAUCAUGCUCCAUAAUAAGAGACUAGAUGUAGUUCCCAGUGCUAUACAGCAGGAUCUCAUCGCUUAUCCAUUCUGAAGGCAAUAGUUUGCGUCCAUUAACCCUAAAUUCCCAGUCCAUCCCACUCCCUCCCCCUUGGCAACCACAAGUCUGUUCUCCAUGUCCAUGAUUUUCUUUUCCGUGGAAAGCUUCAUUUGUGCCAUUUAUUAGAUUCCAGAUAUAAGUGAUAUCAUAUGGUAUUUCUCUUUCUCUUUCUGAUUUACUUCACUUAGUAUGAGAGUCUCCAGUUCCAUCCAUGUAGCUUGCUGCAGAUGGCAUUAUGUCGUCUUUUUUAAGGUUGAGUAGUAUUCCAUUGUGUUUAUAUACCACAUCUUCUUAAUCUAUUCAUCUGUUGAUGGACAUUCAGGUUGUUUCAAUGCCUUGGCUAUUGUGCAUUUCUUUUUUCUUUUUUCUUUUUCUUUUUUUGUCUUUUUGUCUUUUCUAGGGCCACACCCACAGCAUAUGGACUUUCCCAGGCUAGGGGUCCAAUUGGAGCUGUAGUUGCCAGCCUGUGCCAGAGCCACACCAACGCCAGAUCCGAGCUGUGUUAGUGACCUAUACCACAGCUCAUGGCAACGCCAGAUCCUUAACCCACUGAGUGAGGCCAGGGAUCGAACCCACAACCUCAUGGUUCCUCGUUGGAUCCGUUAACCACUGAGCCACGACGGGAACUCCUGUGCAUUUCUGCUGCAUUUAAAAUUGUUCUUCACUUCCAUCACCUGAGGAAAGCAGGUGGGCGGGACUUUGGGACUCAUCACUUCAAGUUGUAAAGAACCUCUUAGCAUCAUGUGGAGUAAGCUGGCUUUGAGUUUGAAUGUUGCUUAAGCCCAUAAAGUGGCCCUGGGUGUCGGAACCCAUUGGGAUAUGAUUUGCAUUUCCAGAGCUGUGUCAAAUUUAGGAAAGCGUCCAGGAAAUUCCUUUUGUCUGUGAGCUGCAAAAUUGGAAGAUAUUUCCGCAGACUAGCUUCCACUGUCUCAAACCUUAUGUCUCGUGAACUUCAGUGACACCUGUGGUGCUGGGACCUCUGGAGCAUUUUCAUGCAGAGAGGGGGGCUGUUGCUGUAGCACCUCUAUGCCACGUCACCGAAAGACUCCGCCCUGCAGGGGUGGGCACCGUCCCCAUACGUGGAUGGGCAGUAGGCAGAAGAGUGGUCCUCGAAGACGUCCCUGUCCUGAUGCCCAGAAUAUGUGCAUGUGUUACCCUGCAGGGUAAAGGGGAUUUGGAGGAUAUGAUAACGUUAAGAGCCUCGAGGUGAUGACCUUGGAGUCUUCAGACAGAGGUCCCAGUGUCGUCAUAAGGGGCCUUGGCAAAGGGAGGCAGGAGGGUCAGACUCAGAGAAGCAGAUGUGAGGAAGGGAGCAGAGGUUGGAAUGAUGUGGGGCUUUGGGCCAAGGAACACAGAAACCUCUACAACUGGAAAAAGCCAGGAGAUGGAGCCUCCGCUAGAGCCUUGGAAGGGAUGUAGGCCUGGAGGGCCAUUCUGGGUUUCUUUCUUUUUUUUUUUCUUUUUACAGCUGCACCUGCAGCAUAUGGAAGUUCCCAGGUUAGGGGUCAAAGUGGAGCUGUAGCUGCCGGCCUCCACCACAGCCAUGGCACCCCGAGAUCCAAGCUGCAUCUCUUUCCUAUGUCUCAGCUUGUGGCAUUGCCAGAUCUUCAACCCACUGAGAGACGCCAGGGAUCGAACCUGCAUCCUCAUGGACUAUAUUGGGUUGUUAACCCACUGAGCCACAAAGGGAAUUCCCCGUUCUGGCUUUCUGACAGCCAGGUCUGCUCAGAUAAGAACCUUGUCUUGCUUUAAGUCACAGCGUUCGUGAUGAUUUGUUACCGAGUAAGACAAAACUAAUAGUAUCGAUGAGCAGUAACUUCAACGUAGAAAAAAAUGCUGAGAUGGAGUUCCUGUUGUGGUGCAGCAGAAACGAAUCCGACUAGUAUCCAUUAGGACGCGGGUUCCGUUUCACUCAGUGGGUCAGGGAUGGUGUUGCCAUGAGCUGUGGUGUAGGUUGCAGAUGCAGCUCAGAUCCUAAGUGACUGUGGCUGUGGCCGGCAGCUGCAGCUCUGAUUCGACCCCUAGCCUGGGAACCUCCAUGUGCCGCGGUGCGGACCUAAACGAGCAAAAAAGAAAAGAAAAGAAAAAAGAAAAAUUGCUGAGAUAUUUCAAAAGAUGUCCCACUCAACUGAAACUGUUACUUCAUCUUCUCUGUCCCUUCAUGAUCCAACUUCCACUUGGAUGGUCCAGCCGUACCUGAGAGAAAGGAAAAUGCAGGAGAGAAGUUGCGACAUGUAGAGAGCAUAACUCACUGCAGCAAAGUCUGUUCCUUCUGCAGAUGAUCCAGUAGCAAAUGGCCAUGUGAACACCACAGACUUUUAGGGCCCAGGGCCAGAAUUCCUGUGAGCCACUGGCAUCCAAGAUCAGAACUUUCCUUAUGGAAAAUUUUGAGGGAGUUCGUGCUGCAGUGCAGAAUCCAGUAUUGUCUCUGCAGCUGCUGCAGUUGGUACUAAGGCACGCGUUUGAUCCCUAGCUCGGCCCAAGUGGGUUAAGGAUCUGAUGUUGCUGCGGCUAUGGCAUAGGUUGAAGCUGUGGCUCUGGUUUGAUUGCCUGGCCUGGGAACUUUCUUUUGCUGUGGGUGCAGCCAAAACAAUAAAUAAAUAAAAAUAAAAAUAAAAAAUAAAAUUUUAAGGUGUUUCUUGGUGGCCCAGUGGAUAAGGUUUUGGCAUUAUCACUGCUGUGGCAAAAGUUUGGUCCCUGGCCCGGGUGCUUCUGCAUGCAGCAGGCGCUGCCAAAACAAUAAAAAGUAAAGAAAUAAAAUUUUGAUAUGUUGUUCCUAAUGGGAUUUUUUUUUUGCAUUAAUUUAGGUUUUUAAAGACAAUGUAUUAAAAUCUUAUUUCUCCUGAGUGCUUACUUUCUGGGCCCUGCCCUCAGUUCUGUGCAGAGAGUGCCUCAUUCGCCCCACUGCAGAAAUGAAGGCUGAGCUUGAGACUGACUAGCCUCGCAGAAAUCCGCCUCCACAGCGCCGAGAGACCUAGAAUAAAAGGAAUGCCUCCACAGUAGACGGGUCUUCAGGCCUGAGCAUUCCCGUAGCAAGAGGCCAUGACCAAAGCCUCUGGGACUGAAAAUUGCCCAGGCCGCCUCCUCUGAAGGCAGCCUUGGUUCCAGAAACACGGGGCGCAGAGGACCCGGGAGCCUGGGGGAUGCUGGCAGGAAAGGGGCAGUGACCAGCUUGGCAUUUCGUUUACUGCGCAGAGUUUACAAGAUGCAGGUGUCUGGUGCUGCCCCCUGAGAGAGACACACACUCUCAAGACUGGGACUCUGGUUGGAUUUGGGGUGGAUCGGCCAGUAAAGGAAGGGCAGCAGGAGAAACUAUUUCCAGGUCUCACGUCUCAUGCUCCGGGCGCCUGUAUCACACCCAGGACUGGCCCCUCGUGCCCAAGUGAAACUCUUGGUGGCCGUCACUCCCAGCUGAACUGAGGUGCGUUGAUGGUGGGCUGUGUCCAUGCUGGUGAGACAGACACCAGGCUGACUGUCUCUGAAUCCUGCCUCCUUCUGCCCUGAUCACCGCGGCCGUAUGCAACCUGGUGAACGGUCCGGCUCACGGUCUCUGUGCACAGAGGCCAGGGUGGCCUGCGCCCUUGGAGGGCUUGGAACAGAGAAGUGAGCUGCUUGGCUUUCUCCCUCCUCCACUCCCGUCCUGACUGGAGCAGCCUCCACCAGAGAGCGGAUGUCCUGGUCUGCCCGUCGUCCCCGUGCCAGUGCCACAGGGCCACACCCGCUAGGGACGCUGCAGGUAGAGGUCACUCUGGGGAGCCUGACUGGGAGGAGUGCCUGCUCCUGUAUUUCCAACCGGUACCUCCCCAUUCAGCCUUGAUGGGGCACAAAGUGGGUUUUUUGUUUUUUUUUUUUUUUGGCUUUUUAGGGCCGUGCCUGUGGCACAUGGAGGUUACCAGGCUAGUGUUCAAAUCGGAGCUGCAGCUGCUGUCCUACGCCACAGCAACUCCAGACCCAAGCCAUGUCUGUGACCUGUGCCACAUCUUGCAGCAACAUCAGAUCCUUAACCCACUGAGUGAGGCCAGGGAUCGAACCCUCCCCCUCAUGGAUACUAGUCAGGUUCUUAACCCACUGAGUCACAUGGGGAACUCCAGUGCCCAUUUUUAAUUCCAGUUGUCUGGCUUCUCUCUCUCUCAAUUAUUUCCAGAUUCAGCUCAGAAAAAGCUGGUGUUCAUUUAGUGGGUUCUCUUAAUCGUCAACAUUGGAUGACCAAUAAAUCUGCUCAAUAAGACGUUGGAUGACCAAUAAAUCUGCUCAAUAAGUAAGUAGCCGGAUUUUUAUGAUGGGCCUCAAGUUUAUGCAUUUGCAUAAUUUCAAGGAACUAUGAGUCAUUUAGCUAAGAUUGCCACAGGGGAGAGAAAUUGUGUGUACGUGUGUGUGUGUGUGUGUGUGUGUGUGUGUAUAACUAAUCUUAAGUAUAUUUUACAUCCAAAUUUGAUCAAAUUUAUUUUUUUGGCAAAUGUAAUAAAGCUACUUAUAGACCCUAUCCCACUUCCUAAGAAAUAUAACUUUUUGAUGCAGCCCAUUGUAGUAUGUGUGUGUGCAUCUGUGUGUGUGCACACGUGUUGAUGGAGGCCAGAUUGUGUGGAGGCAGAAGCCAGAUUGUGUGUAUGUGUGUGUGUAAUUAAGGCUUUUAGCAUGCACUUUAUUUGAUUUGAAUUUGAUCUUCUUUAAGUGCAAGGUGAAACAUAGAAUCAAGUCUCACAAAGAAAUCCAAAAGCAUUGUAAAAAUUGUACAGUUUCAAACAUCAUUCAGAUACAAACUCACGCCCGGCCAUGAUUUGAUCCGACAGGCCCCAAGGAUUGGUUUGGAUUUCUCUUGUCCUAGAUUUUCCAGACUUGGAGCUCUUUGUCAGGUGGCCUCUCUGCUCAUUGGUCAGGCGAUCAGACCUGUUGAAAACCAGCCAUCCUCUGACACCGCCUGGUUCAGUCAGUGUAACGAAUCUUUGCUCUCCCUGUCCAGGCCAAUGGGUUUAAUCUGGCAGUCGUGACGCGAGUUGGCGCCUAAGGCCCACGUGUUUCUCCUGCACAUCUUGAAUAUUCUCUAUUUUGAGGCACCCCCCCCUGCAGUGCCUCCAACCAUUCAGAGCUGGUUCCCAAACCUUCUGUAAAGCUCCCCCUGGCAUCCUUUUGUGACUCUCAGUUGGGACUCCCAAAGAAGGGGCUCCCCCGACCCAAGCAUUCAGGAACUACCCCAUGGAAAAACAUCUCCAUUUUCGUUGAAAAAGCCCAGCAUCACCAGAUUGGGCAUUGCUGGUAAGUUCUCACGUGCUGACUGGUGUCAGACAAAAGA
rnacentral:lncRNA from 1 species